rnacentral:rRNA from 1 species
GACGAACGCUGGCGGCGUGCCUAAUACAUGCAAGUCGAACGCAGUGGGGACGGGUGAGUAACACGUGAGUAACGUCCCAUCAGAGGAGGUAACACUUAGCAACAGGUGCUAAACCGCUACUGAUGGAUGGACCCGCGGGGCAUUAGCCAGUUGGUGAGGUAACGGCUCACCAAGGCCACGAUGCGUACCCGACCUGAGAGGGUGAUCGGCCACACUGGGACUGAGACACGGCCCAGACUCCUACGGGUGGCAGCAGUAGGGAAUCUUCGGCAAUGGACGCAAGGCUGAACGAGCAAUGCCGCGUGAGUGAAGAAGGGCUUCGGAUCGUAAAACUCUGUCGUUAGAGAAGCGGUAUCUAACCAGAAAGCCACGGCUAACUACGUGCCAGCAGCCGCGGUAAUAC